GGCGCCUGGGACGGCGUGCACGCGACGGCGGGCAGAACCGGGCCCGUGGUACGACCGCGAAAGCGGCCCGGAGCGACAACAGCGAGGGGCGGCGCGUAAGGUUCCGCUCGAACUUCUCCCCACCCCCGGAUUAAAGACGACGAUCUUCUGGACAGUUUCGGUGUCCAGAUGAGACUGUGUCCUUCCAGUGAACGCGCGUUUCCCCUUCUCUGCCGGCAGCAAUCCCCGCUCUGCUUACUUUGGUAAAAUCUGAGAGCAGAACGCAAACAUUUGCAUGAUUUAGUCCUCUCCAGGUGUUACGUGGAUGGUGGCCCCGAGAAGAAACCGAGCCCCUGAAAUUCCUUAAAGUCGCCCAGAUGUGGCCCACCUCGCGUUACAGAAGACGAGGGCGUUAAAGCACAUGCUCUAUGAUGGUCGAAUAUCCUCAGAAGACUGUCCCAGCGGCCCCGGUCCUCUCCCGUCCGAGAUGCAGGCCCUGAAUCUGCCUGCUGCUCUGCUGGUCCUCGGCUGUCCCGGCCGGACUCUCAAGGUCUCUGGGGGCCGCCUGGCCCCAUCCCACACACGCCAGUAAAGGCGGGGAAAAGGGGAUACAACCGGCCCCUCCUUUGCGUCCUAACCCCAAAGCUCUGGGAUGCUAACCCGCCAUCAGAAAGAGGCAGGCAGCUGAGGGCAGGGAAUGGGAUUUCCAGGGAAUUCAUCAUAAAUCUUCCACCUGCCCCCAUGAGGGGCCUCGGGCAUCUUCUCAAGUCCAGCUCCAGGACACUCGUCCUAUCUGUAAACGUGUGAAAAAUCCUCCAGGGGUGUCCGUUUCGUUCCUCUGGGCUCUCAACAGCUUAGACCGUGUGAGCGCAAACCCGCUGGGACCCAGGGAGAUGAAUGUUCUGGACAGUUUUUAUGCCAUCACAGGCAUGAAGUCCCUGCUCCUCUGGACCCUGUCUGAUUUCUACCUGAUUGUGACGGUCAACCAGAUACAUGGCUCCGAAAAGCUUCUCAGCUUUUCCUGAAACAGAACGACAGAGUUAACCAGCUGGAGACCCGUGGGCCCCUGCCUGACGGGCACCUGUUCAUCUGCCUCCACAGUCAACAUUCCAGGCCUCAGAGGGCUCUUCCUGUUGUUUUCCAAAAGGGCGGCCGUGACAGGUCCUGGCCCGGCUGUUUCUUGGUGGAGAGACUCAAGCAGAGAAAAUACGACGCCACACGAGCCCGCAGCCGGCCCUCCUGCCACCAAAUUCCCGCUGCUACGAGAACCCCCACCCCACCCUCUCUUUUCUCAGCUCAUCUGACCACUUGCAGUUUUGCAAAACCCAGAUGGAGGACGAACGGCCUGCACAGAACCCGAUCUUCCUGCUGGAGCCACGUCGUGCACGAGGACCACGGACGCGGCCACAGCGCGUCCGCCACACGCGUCCCACGUUGAGACGGAAUCUCGGUGGACGCCGUGCCGACCCCGGAGGCGCCCGGGAGGAGCGCGGGCCUGCACGAGCACCUCGUGACUCAGCGGAUCGCACACAAAAGCUCGGAUUCAGCGAGAGCGAGACGGAAUUCAGUUUUAUUUUGUCCUCUCUGAAACCUCCAUUUACCCCACGGCCUCGUCUGUCAAAGAGGAGGAGGAGGGGAAGCUGAGCCCCACGCCACACGGCUCCGGCCUCCCGCACCUGCUCGCGAGCAGCGGCGGCGGUGGCUUUGUGUCUCCAGUUGUUUGGCUCCGAGGGG